rnacentral:lncRNA from 1 species
AUGCUUUACCUCCUUACAGAUGGUAUUAAGGAUUUGGAAUAUUGGUGCUUUACAUAUGUGGACAUAAUCAACUGGAUCCUGCUAUGGCUGCUUGUUGUUGGAUAUUCAACCUUCAAUUUAAGUAUGUCUAUCACCACAUUAACUGUUACUCUUGGGGUGGAUGUCCUCUUUCAUUUUCAACAUUUCCAUAAGAAGUGGUAUGCAAUGUGGACAAUCCUAUUAGUUCUCCUUUUCCCUACAUGCAUCAGUACAUUUUUCUAUUACCUUUAUUGGAUGUUGGCCAAUAAACCAGAGGGUCCUGGAUUGAUGUGUGGCUGUGCACUGCUCUACAGUCUCACUGCUGUUUCAGGGUUUGACCAUCCCCAGACAACAGCAGAUAUCCCCAUUCCUCACAUUGUUGUUUACAUAUUUGGAGCCGCUGCCCUUCCAGUAAUCAAUGCAGCUGCACUGACAACAGAAUUAAUCACGCAAUUGGUGACAGGUGCACGGAUGUUCAGUGAUCUGCAGGUUAUUGUCCUGCCAUGUGAAUGUGUCUUUGUUUGUGGGUGGCUUGCCUUGCAGCCAUAUCACUACUGUAAGUACAGACGCCAUGGGCUUUUGUAAGCCUUUGCCAGAUAAUGUUAAAAUUGAACAAUAUAUUAAUAAUUCUAUAAGUUGUGUAAUAUUUUAUGCUAUUAGUAAUAUUUUCAUCACCUUAAAUUAUGUGUAAUUUACAUAACAUUUUCAAUCUUUUUCUGUUGGUGUCUUGGACAUAGGGAAAAGGACAGGUGCAAUGUAAGUGUUUGUAAUUAAUUAAACAUGGAUGACCUUGCCAAUAUGUGUUGGUCAUGGUGUAAUAUUAAACUAAAGUAAUAAACCUAAUGCCACAUAUCCUCA